AUGUAUCUACCUAUUUUUGACAGUUUUUCUUUCUUCCGAUGUCGGUAACUAAUAUCCGUGCAAGCACAGUUUGCGAAUCAAGAAGGAAUAAGGAAUAAUAGUUUCUUAAGCAUAUAAACAGCCAAUAAGAAGUGCCACAGCUGCCGUAGCGCAUCUAAAAGGCAACAGUUUCAUGAAUCAAAGGACGACACGACAAACAUUGCAUUUAGAAAAAAUACAUACAUUUGUACAUGCAUACAUACAUACAUACAUAUGUCCGUACAUGCCAUAUGCAUGAAUUUUUAACUAUGCGCAUAUAUUUUUAUCUAUCCCGAAAAAAGAAAGAGCCUUUUAAGAUAAAAUUUACAAGAAAUGAGUCAGAUUAUUUUUCAACGUAUAUCUUUAUUUAAAAAAUUUGGAACACAAAGCCUCAACUAUAUAACUAGUAAGCGUAAAUAAAUUGUUAAAAUGGAUUUAGAAGU